UAUCUCUUUAUCCAUCUUAAGAUCGUUUGAAAUAUUGGAGGAAAACCAAAAUAUCAUGGUAACAUUUACUAACAGUAAAUCUAUAUCAGCUUGUGAUAUUGAAAUACUCACAUCUAAAUGCUUUAUCUGAAUUCCAGAUCCCAUAGUCGAUGCUAGCAGCUGGUCAAUCUCGAGGCAUACUUCCAAAGGACUGGCAACUCUGAGAUAUUAUUUGGAUGACAAAGCAUUGGAUAUUAUGAUUUCAAUGUAGCUCCUUUUUUCCUUACUCUCAUUAACACUAGAACUGCACGUGAACUUGGGAUAUCAAUUAAGUGAGUAGGAUAUGAAAACUGAUUUGUUUUUCUCUU